GAUAUAUAACACAAUAAAGGAAAGGGAAAACGCCAAAAAGCAUAAUAUGAGCACUUUAACAUUGAAGUUUUCUGGUGAAAACCUCAAAGCAACCUAAUGCGCUUUAUUAGUUGAACUAAAUGAUUGUGCAGCCUUUGUCAGUUGGAAAAGGUUUUAUAACCCUAGGGCUUAAGAAACACUGUCACUUCGUUUUUUUUGUUUAGCCGUGAAAAACAGACACAUUAAGGAUCUUUUUAGCCAAUGGCAAACAUUUUCUCUCUGCCAUUAACGCAAUUACUGCUGUCAAGUUUCUCAGUUUUUGUGCCUCUGCAGGUGCUUUUGCACAAGUGUUCAUCCACUCCACCGCUGUUGCUGACUUGCAGUCACUGUGCUGGCAUCUUGACACAGAGCCAAUGACACGGCUGUCACACAGUGGGCUCCAAUUAGGGUAGGUGAGAACAGCAUAUAGCUGGAGAUUUGGGCUUCUAGCAAUAGGCACAGCCGGAGCUCAUUGUUACAGGAGAAGACAGAUUGGCACACAGUCCUGGGGUGGUUAGGGGUGAUGUGAAUCCCACUUGUUGGUGAGAAAUAAUGAUAUCCUGGAAGCUGUUUUUUAGAAAUCUGGAAGAGAAUAACUCUAAACCUCCAUCUGCCUUCAACACAUUAUGAUGAAAAUAAAAAUCAAGUGCUAAACAACAAGUGCACAAAACUUUUUGCCCAACUUAUGUCUCAGUUCUCUAAAUACAUAACAAACUUUGAGUUGUCUCCCACACUGCAUCCACACUUCCACUUCAAAAGGGAAGUGUUUAAUGCGAGAAAAUAAAGUCUUCACACUUGGAUUCACCUGACGUGUCAUUAGUUUUUACACUCUUUUACACCAACUCAGCGAUUUUUGUUAACAUUGCUAUUACGAUGAUGAUUUUGAUUUUGUCUGCACAUAUAUCACAGCCCUUCUGCUUGUCAAUCUCAGAAAUAACAGUUACAUAAACAGCCUCAUUAAUGACUGCAUUUAUUUGGCAUUUUAAUAGACACUACAGCAGUUGGCUGCGUGGCUUAUAAUAAAGUAAAGCUGCUUCAUUAAUCUGAACAUGCACUUCAUUUUCACAGUCUCAGUUCUUUUAUAUUUUUUAUGAAAUGUUCGGGACAGUCAGGUGGAGUCAACCAUGUUCUGUAUUUUACUGAUGUAUUGUGCUUUGUGUGAGCUAUUCAAACCCAACUAUUACUGGUACCGCAAUGACAAAAAUAAAAUACUCUGCCUACGACUGCUACAAAAAUAUGAGGGACAGUGACGGAGGAAAAUAUGUAGGAGAUAGAGUAUAUAAAACAUCACCUGCUAUUCAUUAAAAUGUUAUACCUGACAAGGUUAUUAUAUGAUUCCAGAUGAAAGCUUAAUUCCUUGUUUCAUGUAAUCCAAAUCAAUGUAAGAACUGGGAUAUUUAAGGGGAAGAUGAGGAUGACAGGUGAAAAUGAGGAAGAGGGAUUUUUGAGACAGCUGUUCGGCACAGGGGGAGCUCAGUAUAAAAAAGAUGCUGUUCAAAGUUUGCAGACUUAAAGCCCCUUCACACAUAAUAUCUCUUACACAGUGACCUGUGUGUUGGCCAUGUCCCCCCCCACCCCCUCUCUCUCAAACAUAUUGAUCAUCAUCAAGGUUGCAUUGAAAAGAUGAUUGAGAGUUUAAACAAGGGCGCGAGAGAGAGCGUGAGGGAGGAAAGCCAAAUUAAAAUGUGGUAAUGGAAACAUGAAUGUGACUGUGUGUGUUACUGGAGUCCUUGCCUAAAGCGAAUGAGCUAUUGAUUGAAUUUUGAGAUGCUCUCAUUCAAAGGAUAUCAAAGCGUAAUUAUUUUAAUUGAUUAUCUGCUACCUUGUGAUGUAGCUACAGUGAAACUGUCCUUCAUUUGCGGUCAUUGUGGUGGUCCAGAGGCCUCUUUCUUCUCUCUCAUCUUUGGUCACCUUCUACAGGGCAUCCUACACAAAACAAAUCCUGUCAUAGUGAUUGAACUCUGCAGUGACGAUUUGUUCCUUUUUAUUGUGCAAGUGUUGGUUCACCCAAAUGAAAGCAACAAGGAUUAUUAAAAAAACAAACUAACUUAAAUCUACUGGCUAAGCAAAAAGGUUGGGUUUUACUUUCGACUUUUUAGGUUUCCAGGUAUCUGUCCGUGAGAUAGCAGCAUCCAAAUAGAGGUGAGUGGGAUUUCAUUUGUGGUGUUAACAGCAUAGAAAAUCAGUGUUCCUGCCGUUACUUUGGAUAAACCACAGAACACACUUUCAGUAUAUUAUUUUUUAAUAGGGACUGUUUUUUUUGAUAGAAGGUAGUUCCACAAACUGGCACCACGAACAAAAUUCUCUUCACCUCCAUUGGCAGAAACAGAUAUCUCCUAACUUUAAGAGAAAGAAAAAAAACUAUCUGCAUGGUUGGUUCCAUUCUACAAUGGAAUAAAGGUCCAAGAAACAGCCAGGCCCUUAGAUUUUCGGAGCCAACAAUGGAGAGAGGAGGAAGGAGAAACAGGAGACACUGUGGGAGCUGCUUU